GCAACACGUUUUAGGUACACAAGAGCAUUCUGGAGAAAAUAGUUUCACUGUGUCAACUAUCUGUUUAAGCAGUAUAAGGCCUGUCUUUAUUUUGUUUGCACUUGAAACUCAUAUGGACAAAAUCCUACAAAUUUAAAUGAUAAAGUAACCCUUUUAGAUUUCCUCUUCAAUGACAUGAAAUCACUAAUUCAGAUAUAGAACUUUAUGGAUGUUUAUUUGUGCCUUUUCUGUUGUGAUAUAACAUAAUGUCUACAUCACCUCAUGAAAGAAUUUAAUCUGACUCUUGGUUCCAGAGGGUUACAGGAUCACCAUGAAAACAGCAAGGCAACAGGUGUCAGACAUGGCAGAUAUAGCAGGAUGCUAAGAUCUCACAUCCUCAACCUGCAGAAUGAACCAGACAGUGGGAACUGGAAAUGGUAUGCAGAUGUCAAUUAUAAAACCAUACCCCCAGUGACAUAUUACCUCCAGCAGGGCAUCAUUUCCUUAAUCAUCUCAAAUGAUACCACCAACUGGGAAGUAUUGAUUUCUCUGACUUCAGACCUACAUGCUCGCUUUUUGUUAUAUGAAGCAGAUCAUGAUACAGAAAAACUGUAGACGUCAUUGUUUGUUAUCCAUCCUGGUUUGGAUGUCAGUACUUUGUCAUGGCUACCUUUGAACUCCUAUGUCUCAUGUUUCAUCCUCAUGAGUUCAAGACCAAGGGUAGAUGAUGUACCCCCGAUGUGUGCUCCUUUGUUGACAUGUUUCAACAAUGUUAAUAUUAACAUGCUUAAGAAGUUUAUUCUGAGUACUAAACUCUUGUGGCACUGAUGUCCCCAAGAGCCAGGGAGAUGAAAUGCCAAGUCAAGGGCUGGUGUGAUGAGCCACCACAUCUGCUGUUCCCAUUGUAGGAGCUCCAUGGCAGGUUUUUUAUCUUUCCACACUGGAAUGCUGAUGGAGUGACAGGGAGAGUCUUCACUGAAGACAAGACCUCAGCAGUUAGUGAGGAGAGGGGCUGAUGCCUGCCACCUAUCUGGGUAUGUGAGAAAGGCCUUGGCUACACUUUUUUGCCCAUAGGCUGACCCGACAGGGUCCCUGUGGUCAGAUGGGUAAGGAGUCAGCUUUUUGUCCCUUGCCCUUCCUGGUAUGGUGAGCAUUCUGGGCUGAACCAAGGCCAUGUGUACUUUACCACAGGGUCACCCAGGGAUAAAGGGGGCUCAGAGGUCCUCCACCCACACCCAGGCUGUUCUUGUUCCUCAGGGGUUCUGCAGUACUCUUUUUUGUAAGUUUGUAGCAUUAAACUAAUUUGGAAGAUGAAGUUGGCUUUGCCAUGCAACUCUUAAUGUGCUGGCUAACUGGCAUUUGAAGCUGGUAUG